UAGCGGCAGGCCUAACACAUGCAAGUCGCGGGGCAGCACGGGUAGCAAUACCUGGUGGCGACCGGCGCACGGGUGCGGUAACGCGUAUGCAACCUGCCCCCAUCAGGGGGAAUAGCCCGCCGAAAGGCGGAUUAAUGCCCCAUAGGCCCAGGGCGCCGCAUGGCGCUAUGGGGUAAAGCUCCGGCGGAUGGGGAUGGGCAUGCGUGCCAUUAGCUAGUUGGGGCGGUAACGGCGCACCAAGGCGACGAUGGCUAGGGGGUCUGAGAGGAUGGUCCCCCACACUGGUACUGAGACACGGACCAGACUCCUACGGGAGGCAGCAGUGAGGAAUAUUGGUCAAUGGGCGGAAGCCUGAACCAGCCAUGCCGCGUGCAGGAUGACGGCCCUACGGGUUGUAAACUGACUUUUCCCCGGGAAGAAUAAGCCCCUCGUGAGGGGUGAUGCCGGUACCGGGGGAAUAAGGAUCGGCUAACUCCGUGCCAGCAGCCGC
rnacentral:rRNA from 1 species